GAGGAUGUGGGUCAGUGGGUACAGUGCUUGCUGGGCAUGCAUGAGGUUCUGGGUUCGAUUUUCAGCACCCUCC
rnacentral:tRNA from 1 species